GUGGGGAAUAUUGGACAAUGGGCGCAAGCCUGAUCCAGCCAUGCCGCGUGAGUGAUGAAGGCCCUAGGGUUGUAAAGCUCUUUCACCGGAGAAGAUAAUGACGGUAUCCGGAGAAGAAGCCCCGGCUAACUUCGUGCCAGCAGCCGCGGUAAUACGAAGGGGGCUAGCGUUGUUCGGAAUUACUGGGCGUAAAGCGCACGUAGGCGGACAUUUAAGUCAGGGGUGAAAUCCCGGGGCUCAACCCCGGAACUGCCUUUGAUACUGGGUGUCUGGAGUAUGGAAGAGGUAAGUGGAAUUCCGAGUGUAGAGGUGAAAUUCGUAGAUAUUCGGAGGAACACCAGUGGCGAAGGCGGCUUACUGGUCCAUUACUGACGCUGAGGUGCGAAAGCGUGGGGAGCAAACAGGAUUAGAAACCCUUGUAGUCC
rnacentral:rRNA from 1 species